UCCUGACAUUCGGGUCUCCGAACGGGAACUUUUGAAAGCCGUGGCUGAAAAUCCGCCUGUUCUAUUCUCCCACGCCGCCACGGAAAUAGGUCCGUCCGUUAACAGUAGGUUAUUGUGCUCCACCUCCACCUCCUCUUCGUCCGAUGAAUCUGUUAUCGUAACUGCCAGUAGUCCCUACACGCCGUUGCCACUCUCUACCCGCCCCGCGUGUUUCUCAGCUUCCGGUUCUUCAUCUUCUUCUACUGAAAUUACCUUGUCUGAAACUCCAAAUCUCAAGUC
rnacentral:lncRNA from 1 species